rnacentral:rRNA from 1 species
UUACCCUACGGAAGGCAGCAGUGGGGAAUAUUGCACAAUGGGGGAAACCCUGAUGCAGCAACGCCGCGUGAGUGAUGACGGCCUUCGGGUUGUAAAGCUCUGUCUUCAGGGACGAUAAUGACGGUACCUGAGGAGGAAGCCACGGCUAACUACGUGCCAGCAGCCGCGGUAAUACGUAGGUGGCGAGCGUUGUCCGGAUUUACUUGGCGUAAAGGGAGCGUAGGCGGAUUCUUGAGUGAGAUGUGAAAUACUCGGGCUCAACUUGAGUGCUGCAUUUCAAACUGGAAGUCUAGAGUGCAGGAGAG